AGCCGCCGCGGUAAUACCAGCUCUCCGAGUGGUAGGGACGAUUAUUGGGCUUAAAGCGUCCGUAGCCGGCCCGGCAAGUCUUCCGUUAAAUCCAACGAUUCAAUCGUUGGACUGCGGGAGAUACUGUUGGGCUAGGAGGCGGGAGAGGCCGACGGUAUUCUCGGGGUAGGGGUAAAAUCCUAUAAUCCCGGGAAGACCACCAGUGGCGAAGGCGGUCGGCUAGAACGCGCUCGACGGUGAGGGACGAAAGCUGGGGGAGCGAACCGGAUUAGAUACCCGGGUAGUCCCAGCUGUAAACGAUGCGGGCUAGGUGUUGGAGCGGCUACGGGCCGCUUCAGUGCCGCAGGGAAACCAUUAAGCCCGCCGCCUGGGGAGUACAGCCGCAAGGCUGAAACUUAAAGGAAUUGGCGGGGGAGCACCACAAGGCGUGAAGCUUGCGGUUCAAUUGGAGUCAACGCCGGGAACCUUACCGGGGGCGACAGCAGGAUGAAGGCCAGAUUGAAGGUCUUGCUGGACAGCUGAGAGGAGGUGCAUGGCCGUCGCCAGUUCGUGCCGUGAGGUGUCCUGUUAAGUCAGGCAACGAUCGAGACCCGCGCCCCUAGUUGCCACCGAGGAAGCUUUCCAAGGGGCACUCUAGGGGGACUGCCGUCGAUAAGGCGGAGGAAGGAGCGGGCCACGGCAGGUCAGUAUGCCCCGAAUCCCCCGGG
rnacentral:rRNA from 1 species